GUGCUCGCUUCAGCGGCACAUAUACUAAAAUUGGAAAGAUACAGAGAUUAGCAUGGCCCCUGCGCAAGGAUGACACGCAAAUUCAUUUAGCGUUCCAUAUUUUU
ensembl:snRNA U6 U6 spliceosomal RNA